AGUGAACGCUGGCGGCAGGCCUAACACAUGCAAGUCGAACGGCAGCACAGUAAGAGCUUGCUCUUACGGGUGGCGAGUGGCGGACGGGUGAGGAAUACAUCGGAAUCUACUUUUUCGUGGGGGAUAACGUAGGGAAACUUACGCUAAUACCGCAUACGACCUACGGGUGAAAGCAGGGGAUCUUCGGACCUUGUGCGAUUGAAUGAGCCGAUGUCGGAUUAGCUAGUUGGCGGGGUAAAGGCCCACCAAGGCGACGAUCCGUAGCUGGUCUGAGAGGAUGAUCAGCCACACUGGAACUGAGACACGGUCCAGACUCCUACGGGAGGCAGCAGUGGGGAAUAUUGGACAAUGGGCGCAAGCCUGAUCCAGCCAUACCGCGUGGGUGAAGAAGGCCUUCGGGUUGUAAAGCCCUUUUGUUGGGAAAGAAAAGCAGCAGGUUAAUACCCCGCUGUUCUGACGGUACCCAAAGAAUAAGCACCGGCUAACUUCGUG
rnacentral:rRNA from 1 species